CGCACCUUGCGCCCUUUGGUAUUCCGAAGGGCAUGCCUGUUUGAGCGUCAUUUAAACCUUCAAGCUCAGCUUGGUGUUGGGUGCUUGUCCCCGCCCUGCGGCGGACUCACCUCAAAUGCAUUGGCGGCCGGUAUGUUGGCUACAGCGCAGUACAACGCGUCUGGCGUCUAGACAUGCUGGUCCCCCAGAAGCCUUUCUUUAAGCUUGACCUCGGAUCAGGUAGGGAUACCCGCUGAACUUAA
rnacentral:misc_RNA from 1 species